CGAGCGCGCCCUCCUUUCCUCCAGAGGUAAGGGUGCUGCCGCAGACACAGCUGAGGUGGAUUUAUGCCUCGCUGUGUGAAUGUGUCUUUUCUGAUUUUUUUUCACUCUUUCCUCCGUGUUUUCUUUCUCUGUGGUUCCUGAGGUGUUGUGUAAGCUUGGUGGUAAAGAAACAGACUGGAGGGCACCGAGUGGCGCCGACCGGGCCUGCAAAGCCGGCAGCAGUCCGGUCCGAGCAGGUGAGCGCCUGGCAGCUCGGCCUUCACAGCGCAGAUGUACGCCGUGUCGGUGCAGGGGCACCGCAGAGGGCAAAGAAGCACGAAAGGCUUAAUUUUGCAUUCUUCACUGAAACAAACCAAACCAAGCAAAAACUUAUUUCCCCUCCCGCUGGAAGGCUCUCCGGUUUUCCAUGGGUGUAGCAGAAAGCCCUGGCGGUGACUGCUCGGCAGCCCCUGGAGGGAUCCCGUGGGGUCUGGAGACAGGACCACGGGGAGCCCUCGGACACCCCACGAGCUGCCCGGCCGCCCUGCUCCGGCCAUGCCGGCGGCUCGCCAGGGGCCUGGUGGGCUCUGGGCUCCCGGCAAAGUCCUCCUGGGGCUCCCCGGCAGCGGCCGCGUGGGAAAGGCCCCGCGCGUCGUGUCACGGGCAGGCCGGGCCCACCAGCAGGGCCGGCCGCCGCAGUACCCCGCUCCUGGCAGCAGCUGCGCGGAUUCCCUCAGUGGAGGAGAGAGUCAUGAUGCUCGUAUCUCUCAGACAUUUCGUUCCUUGCGACGGAGCUCGGUGAACCAGAUGAGGAGACGGUGCGCGUUCAGACACCCCUGUCAGCUGGGUCGCGGCGGGGGUUCGGUCCGGAUCCUGAGCGAGAGGAGGAGCAGGGCACGGCGGCACUCACACGUCUCUGGACAGUGAAAAUCGCCGUCUGUUCCCCGCAGUCUGUUAACAGCAAAGUGAAAUGAGAGCGUACCGUCCCCUUCAGCUGUGUCUUCUGUGGGAAUAAAUAACGUACGUGGUGUUGGACA
rnacentral:lncRNA from 1 species